CCUACGGGAGGCAGCAGUGAGGAAUAUUGGUCAAUGGCCGGAAGGCUGAACCAGCCAUGCCGCGUGAAGGUCAGUGCCCUAUGGGCGUUAAACUUCUUUUGUGCGGGAGCAAUAAUGGUCACGUGUGGCCAGACGAGAGUACCGUACGAAUAAGCAUCGGCUAACUCCGUGCCAGCAGCCGCGGUAAUACGGGGGAUGCAAGCGUUAUCCGGAUUUAUUGGGGUUAAAGGGUGCGUAGGCGGUGAGGUAAGUCAGCGGUGAAAUGCCCACGCUCAACGGGGUGAAGUGCCAUUGAUACUGCCUUGCUGGAAUGCGGAUGCCGUGGGAGGAAUGUGUGGUGUAGCGGUGAAAUGCAUAGAUAUCACACAGAACACCGAUUGCGAAGGCAUCUCACGAAUCCGCGAUUGACGCUGAUGCACGAAAGCGUGGGUAUCAAACAGGAUUAGAUACCCGAGUAGUC
rnacentral:rRNA from 1 species